AUUCCACAGCGGUGCCCAUGGCCCCGUUUAAGAGUGGGCAUCCCAUCGUGGCAUUGAACAAUCCGUCGGAAGACAAAGUCCCUGCCCCGAAGAGAACAGCACAGGAACUGUUUUUUCUGCUGAUACCAGCCAGGAAGUUGAAAAUACAUGAAGAAGAAAAUCCAUCGAAAGAAAUGAAAAUAUUUUUGUUUCGUUUCGUUUAUGGCGUUCACACAACGCACCAUAAUAGAAAGAGGAAUAUUUCCUUUAAUUUGAAUGUCAUCUGAAUGACUCAACCACAUUGUCACCCACUUAAGCAAAAGAAAGCAUAAUAAAUAAAUAAAUAAAUAGACAAGAAUAUGCAACACUUUACAUCCUCAAGGAAUCACGGCGUUCCCUAAAUCUACCGAGGUCCUGAUCGGCGUCGUGGGCUCGCUGUACUCAGCCACUUUCGGGUGAUUGUGCCAUGUUAAUGACAAAUCCAGUGGUGUUCCACUUUCCACAAUGGAGUAUUUUUUUGUGUGUUUUUUUGUCUUUUAUUUUUUUCUCCACCUUUUAAAUAUAGGAAUUCUCUCUUAAAUUAGAAAGUAGGCAAAAAGUAUUUUUUUUUUUAAAUUUUCAUUUUUAAGUCUUCUAUUAGAAAAAAUAGAGAUUUAUUAAACAAAAAAUAAUAAGGUAGAAAGAAGGGUUGGGCCUCCAUCAAAAAAGUAGAUUAUGCUUUAAUGCAAAGAGAAAGAAAUGGCUCUAUGGGCAAAAUUCAAGUAUGAGUGACCAGUUUUUUAAUCGUAAAGUCGGUGCAACAUUUCUUAAAAUGUUACAACACUGCAUGACCUGUAAUGCUCACAAUAUUUACAUUAACUGCUUACAUGAAACCAUAAAAACUCUAAAAAAGAAAAAAAAAAAAAAAGAAUUGGUAUGGACUGAAACAAACUACUCCUAGCACCCACAUCAAUGCCAUUAUUAACCGAGGAAAUCAAGUGCACGAGAAUACUUUACAUAAUCUUAGGGAUGUAAAGUAAAUCAGCGGGGAGGGAGCACAGACCUACGGGCCAAAGGAGACACAAACUCAGCUCUGGGACACGAAGCAGAGGGAGGAGGCAAAGGAAAUCCCGAGGGAGAGGGGCUCCAGCGCUCGGAUUGGGAUGGAAGAGCCAAGGGCCACCAGGACACGGCCGCAGGAGAACGGGAGCUGGCGGCUCCGCGAGGAGGAGGAGGAGGAGAGACAAACGAACCUGCCCGAGGAAGAAGGGGACCCCGCCCGGGUCAGGAGCCAGCCCGGGAGCCCCGAGGUAGCUGCGUGCCCGGGCACCCAGCCCCGCUGCCAGCGCUGCCCUGCGGCACCCACGGGUGCCACUGGGGCGAGAGGAGAAGGAGUCACGAUCCAUCCUCGGGAUCCUCGGGAUCCUUGGGAUCCCCAAUCCUGGGACCCUCGGGGUGCUGAGCCAGAGAGCGACGGGCGGGACGCGGGGCCAAGGAGCUCUGAGGUAAGCGGUGGUCCCGGCGCCAGGGUGGGAGGCAAAGCUCCACCCGGGGCUGGGAAUGGUGCCUGGAGUUCUCCUGGGAAGCCUCGAGCGUGCCACGGCUUCCGCCACCAUCGCCACCGGCCGUGUGGAAAAGGAAAAUGAAAUCAAAUGGAAAGAAUGUUGUGCUACACUUCCGUUCGUUAAUUUUAUAAUGGCUCAUAGCUUUAGACUUUUAAAUCUGUAGUGUAUUAAUUUUUUUUUUUUCUACAUAUGUUUCACAUUUCUCACUUAAUAUAACAUAAAUAAUUUGGUUAAUAGAUUUAACCUGCGCAUUUCAGCCACAUUAAUAUAUAUAAGAAUCUGUUAAUGGUAUAAAUAAUUCUUUUUAAAUAAAAUAAAUCUGAUAUGUUACAUAAUACUGAUAAAAAUUACUGUUGCUAAUAGUUUUGUAAGCCACCCUUAACUUUUUUUUCCGUUUUAAUACUGCGAGAUGGACCCUGGGAUUGCUUUUCCCGGACACUGCGGAGCGUUGCCCUUUCAUCCUACUGCCAAACCAAAGGAAAUGGACAGCAAUCAAUCCUGAUCACUCCUCAAAGCAGGGCCUCUGCCCCCUUCCGAGGAAACAUCGCGUUAAUGUCAUUAGAUAAUUGAAGCUAAUUAAUCUAGGGGGUGGUUGGAGGGGCUCAACGUUACGGGGGGAUCGACUGUUUAGUUCCUCAGGUGGCUCUGAAACUUCUCCUACAAAAAUGGUUGACUAAAAUAGUCCCUCUACUCUUUUUUUUUUUUUUUUUUUUUUUGUCCUUUUUAAUCAAAUCUACAGCGUUCUACGUUCAAAGCUAAGGAAAUAAAAUCGCAACCGAGGGGUUGCAGCCUUUGAAUUGUUAAUUAGAGCUGUGAUCCCACAUCCCGCUGGGAAUCUGCGAGGCUGCGCUCUCCUAAAGGCCUGAACUGGAGUACAGCACUUCCAGGCAAGGUUCAUUCCAGACAGACAGAGCAAUGAACACUCAGUGGCGUGAAGUGGAUGUCAUAAUUAAGGUAUUACAUAAUCAUGCCUUCUCUCUGCUGUUAAAUACAAAAACAGCAUCUUUUACAUUAUCAUAUAAAAGCAUUUAGGCUGUAUUUUUAUUUAUCACUUUACACUGGUAGUCUCUUGUAUGUGUACUCAAUAGAAACCAAAGAAUUUUGUACACUAUUUUUUGUACAAUAAAAGAUAAAGUGUGCAUUA